rnacentral:rRNA from 1 species
UGGGACUGAGACACGGCCCAGACUCCUACGGGAGGCAGCAGUGGGGAAUUUUGGACAAUGGGCGCAAGCCUGAUCCAGCCAUGCCGCGUGAGUGAAGAAGGCCUUCGGGUUGUAAAGCUCUUUCAGCUGGAACGAAACGGUACAUCCUAAUACGGUGUGCUAAUGACGGUACCGGCAGAAGAAGCACCGGCUAACUACGUGCCAGCAGCCGCGGUAAUACGUAGGGUGCGAGCGUUAAUCGGAAUUACUGGGCGUAAAGCGUGCGCAGGCGGAUUGUUAAGCAAGAUGUGAAAUCCCCGGGCUUAACCUGGGAAUGGCAUUUUGAACUGGCAGUCUAGAGUGUGUCAGAGGGGGGGUGGAAUUCCACGUGUAGCAGUGAAAUGCGUAGAGAUGUGGAGGAACACCAAUGGCGAAGGCAGCCCCCUGGGAUAACACUGACGCUCAUGUACGAAAGCGUGGGUAGCAAACAGGAUUAGAUACCCUGGUAGUCCACGCCCUAAACGAUGUCAACUGGUUGUUGGGGGAGUGAAAUCCCUUAGUAACGAAGCUAACGCGUGAAGUUGACCGCCUGGGGAGUACGGUCGCAAGAUUAAAACUCAAAGGAAUUGACGGGGACCCGCACAAGCGGUGGAUGAUGUGGAUUAAUUCGAUGCAACGCGAAAAACCUUACCUACC